CCCUUUGCAUAAUGGUGAUACUAAAAUAUUUUAAUAUAUUAAUUUCCCGAAGAAAAAAGAUCUAAUUAUAUUAAGCUAUUUUUUAGGAUUCUGCUUCUACUGUAGCAUAAGUAGUAUAAUAGCACUAAUUAGCGGUGAAAGGCCUACCAAUUUUUUAGAUAUCUGGAUGAGAAUUAAAUACAUUUAGUGUACCAUAAAAUCACUAAACGCCAAGGUUUAGUGAGUAUAAUUUAUUUUAUUGUAAAUUUAACACACUAAUUAAAACUUAGGGUGUAGUUAUACUUAAUAAAUACAACUAAAAAUAAAAUUAAAUAGUAAUUGUUAAAGAUUUAAAUCUUUCGUAAUAUUUUAUAAAAUGUAUCAAUUAGUAUUUAUAAUAAAUAUUAAUAAGUAACUCGACAAAUAUAAUGUUCGACUGUAUAUCAAAAACAUAGCUUUAAGGUUAAAAAUUUAAAGUAAAGUCUGCCCAGUGGAAAUCUUAACGGCCGCAGUACCCUGACUGUGCAAAGGUAGCAUAAUCACUUGGCUUUUAAUUGGAGUCUGGUAUGAAUGAAAACACGAAUAUUAAUUGUCUCAUAUUUACUAUGAUUAAAUUACUAUAAAGAGUGAAAAUACUCUUGAAAUUAACGCUAGACGAGAAGACCCUUAGAAUUUUUAAGAUAUAAUUUCUUUAUUUUAUUAUUUUUUGUUGGGGCAACAUUAUUCCAUGAAAUAAAUAAAUCUGACUUUGAUAAAAUGUGACGAUAUAUUUAAUUUUAGAAAAAUUACCUAAGGGAUAACAGCAUAAUUUUACUAUUUAGUUUGUGACCUCGAUGUUGGACUAGGAUUUAUUGAGGCUAGACGUCUCAAUAAAAUUUGUUCUGUUCGAACUUUACUUCCUACAUGAUCUGAGUUCAGACCGGCGUAAGCCAGGUCAGUUUCUAUCUUCUAUAUUGUGUGUAAUANUACGAA
rnacentral:rRNA from 1 species